UAAACAUGAAUACAAAAUAUCAUUCAAAAAUAUGAAAGUAUACAAGAGUUUGAUUAAAAGUAUGGGCUAAAAACACUAACGAAAAAAACUUCAGGAAUAAAAAGUACGAAAAAAAUCUUUAGUGACUAAACAAAAUUCUGGGAAACUAUAAAGACAAAAAACAUAUUUAACCAUUAUUAUUAUUAUUAUUAUUAUUAUUAUUAUUAUUAUUAUUAUUAUUAUUAUUAUUAUACCAAAUACAUAUGUCUUUUGAUUAAUGAUUAUUACUCUCUCUGUCCCAAAACUUUAGUCCUUUUCGAGUUUUGCACAGAGAUUAAGAAAUAAUAAAGAUUAAUAAGUUAAGUCACUUUUACCCUUACUUUAUUAAGAAAGAGAAAAAUAUAAUUUAAUUAACGUUUUAGAUUUAGUAAGGGUACAAAUGGUAAAACAUCACUAAUUAUACAUUAAUUUCUUAAAAGGACUAAAAAUUGGGACAAAAUUAAAAAGGUAAAAAGACCAAAGAUUUGAGACGGAUGGAGUAUGAUUUUGGCUUUACAAGAUCCACCACAGCUUAAAAUACAACAUAUGACAUAUCUUUCUUUGAAAAAUUUAGUCUUUUUAUUUUAACAAAUUUACUCUUUUUAGAUCACACAAUCCGGACAUAAUUUGUCCGGAUUGUACAUUUAGAACGCAUAUAGUUAAUAUUUAUUGCUCAUGUCAUAAUUGUGA
rnacentral:lncRNA from 1 species